rnacentral:sRNA from 1 species
AAAUAUUUUUAUUUUACAGUUUAUAAUUGUUAUUAAGUAAAGCUAUACCACGAAUCCAUGAGAUAAUUGUUAAAAAACUGAAGUUUUAAUCCCUAUUAAAACAGCAUAUUAAUAAUAUUUUAAAAUUUUAUAAAUAUUGAUUCAAAUACAUCCACCAUAUAACCCAAUUCCAAAAUAAAACCCGUUCUGUAAUUUGUUUACCCGUCCCGUGAUUUUUUUGUUUAAAGUAGUAAUUUUUAAAUUUUAAGAAUUAUUUUUUAUAUAUAAAAGUUUUGCAAAUUGUAUCAUUCUCUAAUACAUUUAUAUUUUAUUGUUUAAUUUUAUAUAUAGUAACAUUAUACAUACCACAUAACAUUUUUGGUUUUAUAUAAUCUUUUCUAAAUUAGGAUGAUUUGAUAUGUUUAAUAUUAGUGGUCUUAAAAAAUAAUAAAUUAAAGAUUUAACCCGUAUUGAAACGGUGGAUUAAUUAUAUUUUAUUUUUUAUUAAUGUUGAUUCAAAAACCCGUCCCUCCAAAUUCGUCUUGCCAAAAACCAAUUUAUUUUAUUAAUAUUAAUUUUAUUAAUGAUAUGACUUUGAAUUAUAUUCUAAACAUUUUUGCUAAUAACAUAGGUGUGCACCAUAUUUAUUUAAUAGGGGAAUGUACCAUAUGAUCCGAAUGCACUUUUAUCCAAAUCCACCAAAAAAGUCUUGCAAAAAUACUAUAAAGAUAAAAAACGAUAGUCGGUUUUGAUAGGUAUAAGAUUAACAAAUAUAUUAGUUAGCUUAAAUUAGUUAAAGAAUACAAAUUGAAAAGGUAUAUUACAUUAUUCGAAUAUAGUAUCAAAACUUAUAUAACACAGAGAUUUGAUAAUGUUUUAAUUGUUGAAUAAUUUUUUUUGUGCUAAUUUUAUAUGUGAUUAAGAUUUAAUUGAUUUUGUAUAUAAAAUAUUAAAUUGACUUAUUUGUUUAUAAUUUGGUAACAGAUAGAUAUUUGAAUAUUCAGUAUAUUUUGCUUCAGUUUAGGAAAUCUUUGAUGACCCGUCUUUAGAUCCAAUAAGCCCUAUAAUCUAGAUAUUAACCUGCAGUAUACCGCAGGUAGGCUUGUAUUUUAGUUAAACUAAAAACUUUUAUUGUAAAGAUGAUUUAAAAAUAUAUGAUAUUAUUUUAUUUGAUUUUAAAUGUAUAGUUAAUUGUGAGUUGUAUAUGUUUUGUUGAUAUUAUCUAUAUUGUUUAGUGUUUAAGAUUAUACACUUGUACUUUGAUUGUUAAUUUAAGAGUUUCGCAUAUAGUAUUCCAUCUUGUAUUAAUAUCGAUCUAAACCCGUCAAUUCUAGGAUUUUCCAGCUUGUAUUAAAAAUUGAAUCACAUCUAAUAUGUUAUUAAUUAUUGUAGUAUAUAAGAUUAUAAAUUUUCAAUAUAAUAUGUAUGAAAUUGAAUAUAAAUAUUUCAAAUUAUGACCCGUUACUCAGUAGAAAGUUUUCUUAAAUCUAUUUUUCACUCGUUAUAAUAUUUUUUCAUGUAUUGAACAGUUUAUAUUCGUUUUUAAGAAUUCAAAUUGUGGCAUAUGCGAAAUAACUCUAAUUAUUUCUUUUAUAAUGAUGAUAUUAUUUUCCGCAAAAAUAGAAUCAUAUAAAGAUGAGAAGUGAACUAUAAUAAUUAAUAAAAAA